GAACGCUAGCUACAGGCUUAACACAUGCAAGUCGAGGGGCAGCAUGGUCUUAGCUUGCUAAGACUGAUGGCGACCGGCGCACGGGUGAGUAACGCGUAUCCAACCUGGCCCAUAGUAGGGAACAGCCCGGCGAAAGUCGGAUUAAUGCCCUAUGUUCUCCUUUGAGGGCAUCUGAGAUGGAGCAAAAGAUUUUAUCGCUAUGGGAUGGGGAUGCGUCUGAUUAGGUUGUUGGCGGGGUAACGGCCCACCAAGCCAUCGAUCAGUAGGGGUUCUGAGAGGAAGGUCCCCCACAUUGGUACUGAGACACGGACCAAACUCCUACGGGAGGCAGCAGUGAGGAAUAUUGGUCAAUGGGCGCAAGCCUGAACCAGCCAAGUAGCGUGCAGGAUGACUGCCCUAUGGGUUGUAAACUGCUUUUGUAUGGGGAUAAAGUGCUCCACGUGUGGAGUUUUGUAGGUACCAUACGAAUAAGGACCGGCUAAUUCCGUGCC
rnacentral:rRNA from 1 species